AGUGAACGCUGGCGGUAGGCCUAACACAUGCAAGUCGAACGGCAGCACAGGAGAGCUUGCUCUCUGGGUGGCGAGUGGCGGACGGGUGAGGAAUGCAUCGGAAUCUACUCUGUCGUGGGGGAUAACGUAGGGAAACUUACGCUAAUACCGCAUACGACCUACGGGUGAAAGCAGGGGAUCUUCGGACCUUGCGCGAUUGAAUGAGCCGGUGUCGGAUUAGCUAGUUGGCGGGGUAAAGGCCCACCAAGGCGACGAUCCGUAGCUGGUCUGAGAGGAUGAUCAGCCACACUGGAACUGAGACACGGUCCAGAUUCCUACGGGAGGCAGCAGUGGGGAAUAUUGGACAAUGGGCGCAAGCCUGAUCCAGCCAUACCGCGUGGGUGAAGAAGGCCUUCGGGUUGUAAAGCCCUUUUGUUGGGAAAGAAAUCCAGCUGGCUAAUACCCGGUUGGGAUGACGGUACCCAAAGAAUAAGCACCGGCUAACUUCGUGCCAGCCGCCGCAGUAA
rnacentral:rRNA from 1 species